GACGAACGCUGGCGGCGUGCUUAACACAUGCAAGUCGAACGGAAAGGCCUGCUUUCCUUUGUGAUUUCGGGUUACUCGGUUGCGAACCGGUUGGUUACCCCUUGGUUGUUCUGCCCCCACUUUGGUUUUAACCUUGGGAAACUGGUUCUAUUUCCCGUAGGGCCUGCGGGUUGUUGCUUGUGUGGGAAACGGUUUUUUUGUGGUUUGGGGUUGAGCUCGCGGCCUAUCAGCUUGUUGGUGGGGUAAUGGCCUACCAAGGCGGCGACGGGUAGCCGGCCUGAGAGGGUGGACGGCCACAUUGGGACUGAGAUACGGCCCAGACUCCUACGGGAGGCAGCAGUGGGGAAUAUUGCACAAUGGGCGGAAGCCUGAUGCAGCGACGCCGCGUGGGGGAUGACGGCCUUCGGGUUGUAAACUCCUUUCGACCGCGAGGAAGCCACCUGGUUGGAAGGGUGGUGACGGUAGUGGUAGAAGAAGCACCGGCUAACUACGUG
rnacentral:rRNA from 1 species